GCCGCUAUAACUCAGCUGGUAGAGUGUCUGGCUGUUAACCAGAAUGUCGCAGGUUCGAGCCCUGUUGGCGGCG
rnacentral:tRNA from 1 species